rnacentral:rRNA from 1 species
AGCGAACGCUGGCGGCAGGCCUAACACAUGCAAGUCGAACGGACCCUUCGGGGUUAGUGGCGGACGGGUGAGUAACACGUGGGAACGUGCCUUUAGGUUCGGAAUAGCUCCUGGAAACGGGUGGUAAUGCCGAAUGUGCCCUUCGGGGAAAGAUUUAUCGCCUUUAGAGCGGCCCGCGUCUGAUUAGCUAGUUGGUGGGGUAAUGGCCCACCAAGGCUACGAUCAGUAGCUGGUCUGAGAGGAUGACCAGCCACAUUGGGACUGAGACACGGCCCAAACUCCUACGGGAGGCAGCAGUGGGGAAUCUUGCGCAAUGGGCGAAAGCCUGACGCAGUCAUGCCGCGUGAGCGAUGAAGGCCUUAGGGUUGUAAAGCUCUUUCAGUGGGGAAGAUAAUGACUGUACCCACAGAAGAAGCCCCGGCUAACUCCGUG